rnacentral:rRNA from 1 species
UACGAAGGGGGCUAGCGUUGCUCGGAAUCACUGGGCGUAAAGCGCACGUAGGCGGAUCUUUAAGUCAGGGGUGAAAUCCUGGAGCUCAACUCCAGAACUGCCUUUGAUACUGAGGAUCUCGAGUCCGGGAGAGGUGAGUGGAACUGCGAGUGUAGAGGUGAAAUUCGUAGAUAUUCGCAAGAACACCAGUGGCGAAGGCAGCUCGCUGGGACGGUACUGACGCUGAGGCGCGAAAGCGUGGGGAGCAAACAGG